rnacentral:lncRNA from 1 species
UCAUUAGUGAUUGAUCUAGUAACCGUAGAAUCUAAAAAAUUGCAAUAUUUUUAUAUAUAAUGAGUAGUUGUAAGUAAUAAUACAUAUUAAAUCAAUAGCAAAAAGUUGUAUAUGACUUACACAGUUCCUUUCAAUCUAAUCAAUUGUCGAUCAGACGGGUUUGAUGGGAUAGGAUGUCCCAAAUUCGGACCUCUAGUUCGAACUGAUGAUGAUGAGGAUGUGUUUGCUUGGCCCCCUAAUGCUUGUGGAGUGUGCUCCAGUAUUUCCUCCUGCACCUGUACUGCCUCAUCUAUUUCAUUCAUAGACAGAUGCUGGCUAUGUUCUCUACCUCUGGAUGAUACUGCUCUUCGAGGCAUCUGAAAAAAUAAUUGUCCAUAAGUAAC